rnacentral:rRNA from 1 species
CGUGAGGAACCUGCCUUUCAGUGGGGGACAACAGUUGGAAACGACUGCUAAUACCGCAUGAUGCUUUUGGGAGACAUCUCCCGGAAGCCAAAGCUUUAUGUGCUGAAAGAUGGCCUCGCGUCUGAUUAGCUAGUUGGUGAGGUAACGGCUCACCAAGGCGACGAUCAGUAGCCGGUCUGAGAGGAUGAACGGCCACAUUGGGACUGAGAUACGGCCCAGACUCCUACGGGAGGCAGCAGUGGGGAAUAUUGGGCAAUGGGGGAAACCCUGACCCAGCAACGCCGCGUGAAGGAAGAAGGCCUUCGGGUUGUAAACUUCUUUUACCAGGGACGAAGGACGUGACGGUACCUGGAGAAAAAGCAACGGCUAACUACGUGCCAGCAGCCGCGGUAAUACGUAGGUUGCAAGCGUUGUCCGGAUUUACUGGGUGU